rnacentral:rRNA from 1 species
AUUGAACGCUGGCGGCAGGCCUAACACAUGCAAGUCGAACGAGUGGCGGACGGGUGAGUAAUGUCUGGGAAACUGCCUGCUGGAGGGGGAUAACUACUGGAAACGGUAGCUAAUACCGCAUACCAUCGGAUGUGCCCAGAUGGGCUUAGCUAGUAGGUGGGGUAAAGGCUCACCUAGGCGACGAUCCCUAGCUGGUCUGAGAGGAUGACCGGCCACACUGGAACUGAGACACGGUCCAGACUCCUACGGGAGGAAGCAGGGGGGAAUAUUGCACAAUGGGCGAAAGCCUGAUGCAGCCAUGCCGGUUGUAUGAAGAAGGCCUUCGGGUGGUAAAGUACUGUCAGCGGGGAGGCGUUACCCGCAGAAGAAGCACCGGCUAACUCCGUGCCAGCAGCCGCGGUAAUAC